rnacentral:rRNA from 1 species
GAUGAACGCUGGCGGCGUGCCUAAUACAUGCAAGUCGAGCGAACAGACGAGGAGCUUGCUCCUCUGACGUUAGCGGCGGACGGGUGAGUAACACGUGGAUAACCUACCUAUAAGACUGGGAUAACUUCGGGAAACCGGAGCUAAUACCGGAUAACAUGUUGAACCGCAUGGUUCAACAGUGGAAGACGGUCUUGCUGUCACUUAUAGAUGGAUCCGCGCUGCAUUAGCUAGUUGGUAAGGUAACGGCUUACCAAGGCAACGAUGCGUAGCCGACCUGAGAGGGUGAUCGGCCACACUGGAACUGAGACACGGUCCAGACUCCUACGGGAGGCAGCAGUAGGGAAUCUUCCGCAAUGGGCGAAAGCCUGACGGAGCAACGCCGCGUGAGUGAUGAAGGUCUUCGGAUCGUAAAACUCUGUUAUUAGGGAAGAACAUAUGUGUAAGUAACUGUGCACGUCUUGACGGUACCUAAUCAGAAAGCCACGGCUAACUACGUG